UUUUCAACUUCUGCCUGUGAGUGAGAUGAUCCCAUAUUCACCCUUCUGUUUCUGACUUAUUUCACUUAACAUGAUUUCUUCAAGCUCCAUCCAAGAUGGGGUGAAAAUGGUGAAAUCAUCAUUUUUUAUACCUGAGUAGCAUUCCAUUGUGUAUAUAGACCACAACUUGCUCAGCCACUCAUCUGUUGUUGGACAACAGAUUCUUAAUUGUAUGUUAAAGUCUCCAAAUCACACUAAUUCUUACCUUUACUGCUUUGUGAUCUAUCAAAAAGAUGGACAAUUUCACAACUAGUUAAAAAAAUCAAUAUUUGAUUGCAAAUAGAAAAGGCAAAAUAACCUGUCCAGCUUACAUAUGUACAUACACUAUACUUUUGUGGUUCUAAUAAAAACAAUUGAUGUCGUGGGAAAUUGAGGUGGGUGGAGGAAGGCUCUGUCAAUGUGACUGCACCUUCUGAAAUUACAGAAAUUCUCACCAAGCAUUUUGUGCCUUAAGACUUUUAAAAAGUGUUCCAGUCAUACAAAUUUAGAUUCACAGAGUUUAGCCCUCUGUGCAGUUGGUUGCUUCAUCACACAUUUGUACUAACAAGUCUCGUUAUGUGGGCUGCAUAUUGAGUAAGCAUUCACAGUGACUGCUUUCAGUACACCUGGGCUGUUUUUUCCCUUCUUAAUGCCUACUUCAUAUGUGGCAUGCCUUAUACCACUUCUCUCAGUGUUUUGAAAUGAGUCACUGAGGCAGUGAACAAAGUCAGAAAAGGUCAAGGACUGGAAGCUUGAUAAAAGUUUCUUUAUAGACAAAUAAAACGAUAACAAGAGUUGAAAAAGACAGCCAAGUCAGCCAUUGAGAUGAUGUAAUACCUACAUACAGAGAACUAGACCACGGAAAAUGAGAAGAUUUUACUACAAAGAACUAAACUAAUUUUCCUAACCUUGAAAAAAGUGACUCUGUCUUUCACUAUGUCAUAACUCUGUGAGAGCUUUUUCAUUUCUGUUGGAAUCAUGAUUACUUUCAUUGGAUUGUCUUCUUUU